UACAGAGGUCUCAAGCGUUGUUCGGAUUCAUUGGGCGUAAAGGGUGCGCAGGCUGUGGGGUAAGUCGGAUGUGAAAUUUAGAGGCUCAACCUCUAAACUGCAUUCGAUACUGCUUCGCUAGAGGUAUGUAGAGGAGAUUGGAAUUCACGGUGUAGCAGUGAAAUGCGUAGAUAUCGUGAGGAAGACCAGUGGCGAAGGCGAAUCUCUGGGCAUUACCUGACGCUCAUGCACGAAGGCCAGGGGAGCAAACGGG
rnacentral:rRNA from 1 species